CUUCAUCAUAAUUGCAUCAUCUGCAAAGAGCCUGUUUCCAAACAUGAUGGUUAAUACUGAGUGUCUACUUAAUUGGAUUGAAGGAUGCAAAGUAUUGCUCCUGGAUGUGUCUGUGAGGGUGUUGCCAAAGGAGAUUAACAUGUGGGUCAGUGGACUGGGAGAGGCAGACCCACCCUCAAUCUGAGUGGGCACCAUCUAAUCAGCUGCCAGCCAGCCAGGACAAAAGCAGGCAGAGGAACAUGGAAGGACUGGACUUACUGAGUCUUCUGGCCUCCAUCUUUCUCCAGUUCUGGAUGCUUCCUGCCCUCGAACAUCAGACUCCACAUUCUUCAGCUCUUUGACUCUUGAACAUACACCAGUGAUUUUCCAGGGACUCUCAGGCCUUUGGCCACAGACUGAAGGCUGCUCUGUCGGCUUCCCUACUUUUGAGGUUUUGGGACUCACACUGGCUUCCUUGCUCUUCAGCUUGUAGAUGGCCUAUUGAGGGACUUCGCCUUGUAAUCAGAAGCAUUACCUGCCCCAGAGGCUACCUGCCACUCAGUGAAGAUCAUAUGCCUAAGUCAUGACAUCAACAUCAAACUCUCUUCAAAUCUGGGAGAAAGGCUCAGCUCUUACAACCAGGACAAGAAGAAAUGACACCAGUAGAGAGAUCAUUUGGUGAGCAGCAGGGUUGAAAGAGCCUCAAACCAUGGAGAGAGAGCCUGGAUCUCGAGUAGAAAGGCUUCUGGCACUGAAGAAGUCAAACAGGAUCCCUGAGAGGGAAAAAGCCAGGAGCUUGGGGAAUUAUCUUCACCAAGGUCUGUCUAGAGAUGUGGUUGGCAGAUUUAUGACCCCCAAAGAUGUCUACAUCCUAAACCCAGGAAUCUGUUGCUAAGACUGAGUAAAACAAGAAAAGCAAUGGGGAACCUCACUCACAUCCAUGCUUCCUUGUCUCAUCUGUAUGUAUGAUUUUUGCACAACUUAUUUGAUACUUUGGACAUAAAGCAAGGAAUGAGACGGGGAGAUAGGAAGCUCUCUUAUUCCUAAACUCUUAUUACAGUCUCCACUGUUUCCAGCCUCCUCAUGUAUGUCCAGAGUCAACAACAGGCCUAGAAAGCUGGAAAUGGAAGCAGCAGAAACCUUUGUUCCUCCAGGGUUUAGGAUGGCAAUGGGGAACAAGUGUUCAUCCCUAUAUUGCACACAGCACUCAUCCUGUUCACAGAUCCACAGGAAAUAACUAGAGCUCAUCAGUCCUCCUAGGCCAUGAAUUUUCAAAACAAUCCUAGCACCUAUGGGGCAUCGUGGUCAUCCAAGCCCUAAGAAGGCUGCUGUCCAUCCAGUCAAGGCUAUCGGAGGGUGUCUGAGGUGUCCUCUCCCUCCUUAUCUGCACCCCUUCCCCUUCCUGCCUUCUCAGCCAGCAGCAGCAUUGCUUCAUUGAGGAAACCUGCACAACACACAAGCAACUAAGAGGCUUCUGGAUUUCAAAAGCCUGAGUUUUGAAGAUCUCAGCCUCCAGCAUUUAUGUCAUAAACAAAAUAUUUGGACCAUUGAUGGAGAGACUUUUACCCUCAGGCUAGAUUAAGAUUCACUAAUCAAGAGAAAGAAAAGAAGCAAAUCGGACCUGAAGAAGGUAGCUGAACCUUGAAGAGGGGAAUAACAGAAACUCAAGGUCAGGUGGAAAAAUCCAAGAGUACUUUACUGAGUUGUGAUGAGGAGACUCAUAGAAGCUUCACAUUUCUCUGACUGGGGCCAACAGGUCCUCCUCCCACACUCUGGACAGCCAGAUUCCUAUUUGGCAUUAAUCUGUGUGUUCCACAGUCCGCUUCUACAGCCUCAGGAAACCUCCCGUCAACACUGGGACCUCGGUAUGGGGCAAAUUUCAGGAGGAAAAGAAUAAAAGGAAUAAAAGUUAAGUCCUCCAGUAUUUUUUGGCAGAAAGGUGAGGAGCAAAGUUCCAAUGACUCAGGAUCAGUGAUAGAAGUUGUUGGUCCAUGGGGAAAAGAAUUGGGCAUCUCCAGCUCUGUGAUCUUUCUUCCAGGCCCUUGACCUGCCACCAGCAUUUUACAUACCCACGCAUACACACACAAUUAUAUUCCCCAAAAAUACUCCCCAAAGAGGAUUUCCAGAGUGCUUUUAGAUCCUUUGACAUUUCCAACCUCUCCUCCAGUGAUUUAAAAAAAAAAUCUUCACUAGAAUCAUAAUGUCUCUGGUAUUUCUUUUCAAGAAAUUCCAAUCACAUAAUUGAACAGGGUUGAGUUGUAGGAGAGGGUUAAGAAGAACAGGCUCUCUGAGUGACAGUCACACUCAGGCGCCAUCUGGCUGCAACCCACUGUAUCAACAGCCAAACCAUGAGGUCCACACAGGUUACACUGGCGGGUACGCAGAGGCAGGGACAUCUAUCUAGUAGCAAGGCGCCUCACUGUGCAGAUCUGGGCACAUAGCUUCAUCGGAAUUCCUCCCACACCAGCCUCAAACAAGCUGCCCUUUACUGAGUGAGGUUUUCAGGGGAUGCAGGUAGGAAAAGAUUAAACAGUGAAUAACUUUAUUUAUUAUUCCUAACCCAUAGCCAUCUCGGAGGGCUGGAAUAGCUCCCUGGCUCCCUGGGUCUCAGAGAUGCCUAUAGGUCUAGGCUGUGGGUACGCCUGUGGUUUGGGGUUUGUUCUGCUUUCAUUGUGAGCCAAACCUCCAACAAUCCCUACACCCUGGGUGGUUACUAUUGAUUUUUUUUUUU
rnacentral:lncRNA from 10 species